GUGCCAGCAGCUGCGGUAAUACGUAGGGCGCAAGCGUUGUCCGGAAUUAUUGGGCGUAAAGAGCUCGUAGGCGGUUUGUUGCGUCUGUCGUGAAAGCCCACGGCUUAACCGUGGGUUUGCGGUGGAUACGGGCAGACUUGAGGCAGGUAGGGGAGAACGGAAUUCCCGGUGUAGCGGUGAAAUGCGCAGAUAUCGGGAGGAACACCGGUGGCGAAGGCGGUUCUCUGGGCCUGUACUGACGCUGAGGAGCGAAAGCGUGGGAGCGAACAGGAUUAGAUACCCUGGUAGUCCACGCCGUAAACGUUGGGCGCUAGGUGUGGGGUUCUUCCGACGGAUUCCGCGCCGUAGCUAACGCAUUAAGCGCCCCGCCUGGGGACGUACGGCCGCAAGGC
rnacentral:rRNA from 1 species